rnacentral:lncRNA from 1 species
CGGACUGUAUGAUGGCGAUGUUGGGCUGUAUGAUGGAGACGUGGGGCUGUAUGCAGGUGAAGUUGGGCUAUAUGCCGGUGAAGUAGGGCUGUAGCUUGGUGAAGUUGGACUAUAACUUGGUGAAGUAGGACUGUAACUUGGAGACGUAGGGCUGUAGCUUGGAGACGUAGGGCUGUAGCUUGGAGAGGUAGGGCUAUAGCUCGGUGAGGUUGGAGAAUAAGAGGGACUUGUAGGUGAGUAGGCUGGACUUGUUGGGCUGUAACCUGGUGAACUAGGACUGUAAGUAGGUGAUGUGGGGCUGUAACCAGGCGAGGUAGGACUGUAGCCAGGAGAUGUAGGGCUGUAACCAGGCGAGGUAGGACUGUAGCCAGGAGAUGAAGGACUGUAGCCAGGAGAUGAUGGGCUGUAACCAGGGGAUGACGUGGGAGAGAAUGCCAUCCCACCAACAUAAGGUGAGAACUGAGCAUCCGAAAUGGGAGAGAGACGGAGAUUUGGGCUCAGCAAGUAACUUGGAGACAUCAUGCCUUCAUGAUAUGGAGUUCCUGAUACUGGAGAUCGA